GCCAGUGUGGUGUAGUGAUUAGUGUGUUAGACUAUGACUCUGGAGACCAGGAUUUGAUUCCCUGCUUGAGCA